UUUUUUUUUUUUUAAUUUCAAUCUGAGUCUCAGGGAGAAAAAAACAAUAGAUUUUUAUGGUUUAAUCUCUUAUUCAGAAGAGUCAACUUUAAUAGAAUUAAAAAAAUACUAUCUAAAGAGAAUAAUUCACAGUGAAAAGACCCACUUGGAGAACAAACAGUAUUAUCAAUUUGCAACCAGGUUACUAGGAUAAAUUUCUCUAUACUUGGCACACAACUGAAGCAAAGCAGAUUGGGGGAAUCAGCUUUCUAAGCCUGACCUAUCUGGGAUACUUAGAAAAGACUAACUGUAUUAAAAGGAUAAACAAUUAUAAACACACAUGAUGCCACUAUAUUUAAAAAUAAAUAAUAAAUGAGAAGUGUCUUGCAAAUGUAACUGCCAAGCCAUUCAACUUCCUACUGUUCUGCUUUUCCACUAGGAAGCAACCAUUAUUCUGAUCUAGUUACUAUUUGUGUGCUACUCUAUUAUUCCUCCCACAUGUCAUUAUUUUCUCUUAGUCUUUAUCCCUACACACAGGGCCUUCAGAGUAGCACCUAUUCUUGGUUAGAAGAUUAGCAUAGCCUAUCUCAUGGUGAAAGAGAAGAGAGACACAAAAAUGAUUACUUCUUUGCCAAAGAUCCGAGUUGAAAGGAAUAUAUUGGAGUUAAAUGGCUACGGAUAAAUGGAGAUUUUAUUUAAUACUAUGUGCACAAAGAUCCAUGAGUCUGGCUUUAAAAUUCAGUAUCUGACAUAAAUAUGGGUAUGAAACAUGCCAGAAAACCUUCCCUAUGCUGUUGAGGGGCAAGGAGUCUCAGGGGCUUAGAAUUAGAAGUCUCUUAGAAUUAGAAGGGGCUUUCUGGUUAAUUGUUGUGCUUAUGGUGAAAACUCUUAUCAAGUGACACACAGAUUUCUGUAUCUACUCAUGUUUCACCUCAAGAAAGUUUUAAAGGCAGUUUUAUUGCGACUUCAGCAGUGCUGUUUUAAAUGCUAGAAAUAAGUUUUUGUUUUUUUGUUUUUUUUUUUUUUAAGAAAAGUUAUUGUCCUUUGAAAAGAAAAUAAUCUAACAACUUCUGGGGUGAUUAACUCAGGGGAAAAUUGGAUCCCUGGAGAACUGUAUAAUGAGCAGACCCAGUACAGGAAGUAAAAGGUGAAUCUAAAUGUGGUCAGUGGGGGGCAACCAUGCUCCUUUGUUGAGAGGCAGGUGUCCAAAGAUGGGGCAACAGCAAAUUCCACCCAACCACCCAGCCCCACUACAAUUACAAGGAAGGAGAACAAACAAAUCAGGGUAUUUUCCUUCCUUUCUUUCUUUUAAAACAAUGAUCUCUGCUUGUCCACCACGUGGUUAUAAUUAAACAUCUUAAUUCUUCCCUAUGCACUAAAGUUGCAGGGGCUCUGAGAGUAAGGGGGGUUGAUAAUUCUGCAUUGAUUCGGCAUGGCAUCUUCAAAACAGAUGAGUUUGUUUUAGUAACACACACACACACACACACAUACACUUUUUGCUCACUGCGGUGAAACAUAUUAUUAGGCAGAUCUAGAACUGCAAAUCCCACUUCAAUGUUCUCCUAUGGAAAUAAAAUACUACUACUAAGAAAAGAAACUAACUUGAUUUAGAGAUCAAGAUUUUAAAAUUCAAUAUUCUGUUUUUCUACAUAAUGGCAACAACUUUUUGGAAAAAAAACAAAAUGAAACAACAAAAAUAGGAAACAAAAACCAAAAAGAGCAAAGUAACCUACAUCCAAUUGUAAAGAACACACUGCUAGCAUUUGGUAUGCUCACUCUAUCUAGAGUGCAGUGACUACACAAUUUGCUUAUUAGAAAAUGGGUUUAACUCUUUUGAAGAUAUCAAGGAAUAUUAUGGUCUGUUCACACCCUGUGUCAUACUGACAAACUUAGCCAAAUGAGACAAGACGAUCCCCAACCCACCCCACCUUCCAGUUUUACUUUUAUAUAUCAAAAGCAGUGCAUUAUAGUUAGAGCGAAGUUCCUGAGGAAUAUAAUGAUAAAAUCAAAUAAUUUAUGUGCUUACUUGAAAAAGAAUCUUUCAAUCUUUAGAAGUAUAGGCCCUUCUGACCUUGUAUUCUAUUGGGUUUGUCUGACAACAAGAGGUGAAAGAAUUCUGUGGCUCCAUUGUCUCAACAGUGGGAUCUAAGACAACACUGGCAGGGCUCAUCAGAGAGGUUUAUGAGCCUGCAAUUCAAAGAGAUUAAAAGGAAAAUCUACAGCGAUCCUUUCACACUGGCGAAUAACAUUAAAUAACUAUUAGCUGCUUGGUUCAGUCAAGCUCACCAGGGCCCUUGCUGAGUCAUUGACAGCCUUGUAAAGAGGAAAAGUUUCUUCAGCCCCAUUUGGGAAUCAAUAAAUAUUCCCUACUUCUUGUAAGACAAUGAGAAUUCCAGUCUUUAAAAACUUCUUCCUAAUGAUAAUCAAACUUCUAAAACAACCCUUUAAUAUCUAAAUAAUGUCUAAUCCCAGUAAACUUUCUAACCAAAGCUACAAUUUU
rnacentral:lncRNA from 1 species